rnacentral:rRNA from 1 species
UACAGAGGUCCCAAGCGUUGUUCGGAUUCACUGGGCGUAAAGGGUGCGUAGGCGGUCGGGUAAGUCUGACGUGAAAUCUCCGGGCCUAACCCGGAAACUGCGUCGGAUACUAUCCGGCUAGAGGAUUGGAAGGGAGACUGGAAUACUUGGUGUAGCAGUGAAAUGCGUAGAUAUCAAGUGGAACACCAGUGGCGAAGGCGAGUCUCUGGACAAUUCCUGACGCUGAGGCACGAAAGCCAGGGAAGCAAACGGG